GCCCCAAGCAGAGCAGCCGGGAACCGAGAACAGCCUCACCCGGAAAUUAAGGACUAACUGUCUUCGUUCCGCAAGUGUGACCUCACUCCGUCUGAAUUCAUGAAAAGCGCUCCAGUUAAGAAUUAAAUGAAAGGAAAGCAAAGAUUCGGCAUAUAAGCAAUAUCAUACGAUAUUUGUCUUUCUCUGUCUGACAAGAAGUCUUACAUUUUUGACGAUUGAAACCAAGAUGGAUAUUUUCAUGUCACUGCCUGUGAUAGCCGGAAGGAAAGUGGGCGUGCUUGGAGGGACGGCGGCAGAAAACUCAUUCUGGUCUGGAAAUGUAAUGGCGAACCGAAUGUCUACACAAGGUUACAGUCUGUUGGAUGCCUCUGGAAAUCCCAACUCCUCACCACAAAUCAUGGGUCUUACUCGUUGCUGGGCGUCACCUUCUAGAAGAGACUUCUGACCAACCAGGCUCCCCGCCCCCACCUGCUUCACACCUGUCUCUUCCCCCGACCGCUUCCUUCUGCACAUGUGAAUACAAGAACAAAUAGAGCUGCUCUGCAAGACCUUAUAAUCCGUGAGAGAAGAUGAGUAACAUGUGCAUGUCCCCAUAAAAAUGCAGAGAACAGUCAGAGAAACACAGCCUCCCUGUACUAGAUAACAGAGAGAUUCCCUCAAGAAACAUGCCCUGGGCACCUGGUGUGAAGCAUCUCCUGGUGCUUGGUGACAAGAAGAGUAGGCAGCAGCCCAUACAUCCGAGGAAAUCACAGACUGACGUGGGGUUCAGAAGUUUUCAUAGGGAGGAAGCAUUUGAGAUGGAGAGAAUUUCCAGAAAGGAGAGUGAGGAAAGGGUGAGCAGUGUGGGCGUCAACAACUGAAUACACUUUCUUCUCAAGUGUUCAAGGAACAUUAUCCAGGAUAGAUUAUAUCUUUGGUGACAAAUCAAGCCUUGGUAAAUGUAAGAAAAUUGAAAUCAUACCAAGUAUCUUUUCCGACCACAAUGCUAUGAGACUAGAUAUCAAUUACAGGAAAAAAAACUGUAAAAAAUACACAUACAUGGCGGCUAAACAAUACGCUACUAAAUAACCAAGAGAUCACUGAAGAAAUCAAAGAGGAAAUAAAAAGUACCUAGAAACAAAUGACAUAGAAAAUACACUGACCCAAAAACUAUGGGAUGCAGCAAAAGCAGUUCUAAGAGGGAAGUUAAUAGCAAUACAAUCCUACCUCAAGAAACAAGAAAAAUCUCAAAUAAACAACCUAAACUUACACCUAAAGCAAUUAGAGGAAGAAAAACAAAAGGAACCCCAAAGUUACCAGAAGGAAAGAAAUCAUAAUGAUCAGAUCAGAAAUAAAUGAGAAAGAAAUGAAGGAAAUGAUAGUAAAGAUCAAUAAAGCUAAAAGCUGGUUCUUUGAGAAGAUAAACAAAAUAGAUAAACCAUUAGCCAGACUCACCAAGAAAAAAAGGGGGAAGACUCAAAUCAACAGAAUUAGAAAUGAAAACGGAGAAGUAAGAACUGACACUGCAGAAAUACAAAGGAUCAUAAGAGACUACUACGAGCAACUAUAUGCCAAUAAAAUGGACAACCUGGAAGAAAUGGACAAAUUCUUAGAAAAGCACAAUGUUCCGAGACUGAACCAGGAAGAAAUAGAAAAUAUAAAGAGAAAAAUCACAAGCACUGAAAUUGAAACUGUGAUCAAAAAUCUUCCAACAAACAAAAGCCCAGGACCAGAUGGCUUCACAGGCGAAUUCUAUUCAAACAUUUAGAGAAGAGCUAACACCUAUCCUUCUCAAACUCUUCCAAAAUAUAGCAGAGGGAGGAACACUCCCAAACUCAUUCUAUGAGGCCACCAUCACCCUGAUACCAAAACAGGACAAGGAUGUCACAAAAAAAGAAAACUACAGGCUAAUAUCACUGAUGAACAUAGAUGCAAAAAUCCUCAACAAAUUACUAGCAAACAGAAUCCAAGAGCACAUUAAAAGGAUCAUACACUAUGAUCAAGUGGGGUUUAAUCCCAAGAAUGCAAGGAUUCUUCAAUAUAUGCAAAUCAAUCAAUGAUACACUAUAUUAACAAACUGAAGGAGAAAAUCACAGCAAGAUCCUUUUUGACCCACCUCCUAGAGAAAUGGAAAUAAAAACAAAAAGAAACAAAUGGGACCUAAUGAAACUUCAAAGCUUUUGCACAAGAAAGGAAACCAUAAACAAGAUGAAAAGACAACCCUUAAGGAUCUCCCUGGUGGUGCAGUGGUUAAGAAUCCGCCUGUGGGGCGAGAGAGAGUCAUGGACAUAUACACACUAACAAACGUAGUAAGGUAGAUAGCUAGUGGGAAGCAGCCGCAUGGCACAGGGAUAUUGGCUCGGUGCUUUGUGACAGC